UACGAAGGGGGCUAGCGUUGCUCGGAAUCACUGGGCAUAAAGGGCGCGUAGGCGGAUCUUUAAGUCGGGGGUGAAAGCCUGUGGCUCAACCACAGAAUUGCCUUCGAUACUGGGGAUCUCGAGACCGGAAGAGGUGAGUGGAACUGCGAGUGUAGAGGUGAAAUUCGUAGAUAUUCGCAAGAACACCAGUGGCGAAGGCGGCUCACUGGCCCGGUACUGACGCUGAGGUGCGAAAGCGUGGGGAGCAAACAGG
rnacentral:rRNA from 1 species